ACCUGGGUGGCUCAGUCGGUUGAGCAUCUGACUUUGGCUCAGAUCAUGAUCUCACAGUUUGUGGGUUUGAGCCCCAUGUCAGGCU
rnacentral:tRNA from 1 species